rnacentral:rRNA from 1 species
CUGACGAGUGCCGCACGGAUGAGUAAUGUCUGGGAAACUGCCUGAUGGAGGGGGAUAACUACUGGAAACGGUAGCUAAUACCGCAUAACGUCGCAAGACCAAAGAGGGGGACCUUCGGGCCUCUUGCCAUCGGAUGUGCCCAGAUGGGAUUAGCUAGUAGGUGGGGUAACGGCUCACCUAGGCGACGAUCCCUAGCUGGUCUGAGAGGAUGACCAGCCACACUGGAACUGAGACACGGUCCAGACUCCUACGGGAGGCAGCAGUGGGGAAUAUUGCACAAUGGGCGCAAGCCUGAUGCAGCCAUGCCGCGUGUAUGAAGAAGGCCUUCGGGUUGUAAAGUACUUUCAGCGGGGAGGAAGGCGAUAAGGUUAAUAACCUUGUCGAUUGACGUUACCCGCAGAAGAAGCACCGGCUAACUCCGUGCCAGCAGCCGCGGUAAUACGGAGGGUGCAAGCGUUAAUCGGAAUUACUGGGCGUAAAGCGCACGCGGGCGGUCUGUCAAGUCGGAUGUGAAAUCCCCGGGCUCAACCUGGGAACUGCAUUCGAAACUGGCAGGCUAGAGUCUUGUAGAGGGGGGUAGAAUUCCAGGUGUAGCGGUGAAAAUGCGUAGAGAUCUGGAGGAAUACCGGGUGGCGAAGGCGGCCCCCUGGACAAAGACUGACGCUCAGGUGCGAAGCGUGGGGGAGCAAACAGGAUUAGAUACCCUUGGUAGUCCACGCCGUAAACGAUGUCGACUUGGAGGUUGUGCCCUUUGAGGCGGGCUUCCGGGAGCUAACGCGUUAAGCCGACCGCCU